rnacentral:lncRNA from 1 species
CCCUUUUUUUAGCUCCAGAGUCAAACCAGACAUGUCCAAGAGAUCUGAUCCCCUAUUUGGAUGAUUUGUCUUAAUUGAGAUCUUUUGCAUGAGUUGUUGUCAUCAAGAACUUAAUGAUUAAGGUCCUCUUAGAGAUUACUGAUUACCUGAGGUCCAAAGAGUCACACCAAGCAAAGAGGGUUGACAAGGGUAUGAGGCAGCCCACU